rnacentral:lncRNA from 1 species
AGUAAAUACAACCCUUUACAUGGAGACACUGAGGAGUUGUUAGUCAUCUGCCACAGUACAGGCUGGGAAGGAGUGGCCCCAUGGUGAUGGAGGGCCAGCAGGCUAAGGACCCUGCAUGGGUGGGUAUGGCUGUCACUGCAGGGAGGCUGCAUAUGAGAGAUGCAGGCUGCUCCAAGCCAGCUGGCCAGCCGGUUCCCUGAAGUUCUGACUCCAUGGUAUCUCAAUGGAAGUAUAAAUUCACCUCAUCCAGUCCUGAGCAACCUGUCCUGGAACUUGGUCUGUGUUCUUAGCCAGGACUGGCCUGGGGGCUGGUGGCCCUCUGUGUGGGAGCACAGCCAGAAUCAUAUUCCUGUUGCUGUGUCAUGCUGUGUGACAUCCUGCCAAGUUACAAUCAUUUUGGAGGUCAUCUUGAGCCCAAAGGGGUAUGAAUGAUACUCUUAGGAUUCUCCCCCAGCAGAACAGCAUCUUCAUCUAAAACUACUUACUCAGAGACACGGAAGCCAUUUCUCACUCUAUCUUUGUAUGUAUGCAUGUAUGUAUGUAUAUAUGUAUGCAUGCACGCAUGUAUGUAUUCAUGUAUGUAUGUAACCACGUAUGUAUGUGUCUGUCUGUCUAUCUAUCUAUCUAUCUAUCUAUCUAUCUAUCUAUCUAUCAUUCUAUCUAUCUAUGUUUCUAUCUAUACUAUGUAUCAAAUAGGAUUGGAGGUGUUUUAGCUAAUUAGUAUGGAAUGUUCUAUGUUGAGGGAUUAUUUUAUUUUAUUUUACUAUUAUUAUUAUUAUUAUUUUUUUUUUUUUGGUUUUUCGAGACAGGGUUUCUCUGUAUAGCCCUGGCUGUCCUGGAACUCACUUUGUAGACCAGGUUGGCCUCGAACUCAGAGAUCCACCUGCCUCUGCCUCCCGAGUGCUGGGAUUAAAGGCGUGCGGCACCACGCCCGGCUCUUGUUGAGGGAUUAAGAGAAUUUACCCACAGAUUGGGAUGUGGCUAGAGUGUUUGCUUAGCGUGUGUUUGAUCCUAGGCUCAGCCCCUUAGUACUUCGUCAACUGGGUGUGGUGGUCCAGGCCUUCGAAUCCAGCGCUGGGGAGGUAGAGGCAGGAGAGUCAGGAGUUCAAUAUGAUCCUUGAGCUACUAAGCAAGUUUGAGACUGGGCUACAUGAGACCUUCAUGAGGUUACAAGUUUUGGGUCUGAAAAGUGUAAAACAACAAAGACUUAGCUGAAACUUAGAAACAAGGCAAAGGCUGAUCUGCUGGGACACCGGCGGGCUCAGCCAAGAAUAACUUCAUUCCAGAGAACAAACUUUUUUUUUUUUUAAUAGGUUUGACUCUGCUUUUUAAAGGUUGGUAAACCUAGGUGCAGUAAGUACGAAUGCUAACGUGUUGAUUUCUGUUUUUAAAGAAAGAUGACGGAGAAGGUUAUGGCUCGUUCCUUUGCAGGGUGUUGGCCAGUUUUCUCUCUGAUUUGGCGGUCGUUUUACCAUUGCUUUGUUUGUGAAUGCCUGUAAAAUUCCAUGAAUGCUCUUUGAACCUUCUACGCUGCCCAGCUCGUUUAACGCACACAAUGUUGCCCUCCCUAUUGGAGGCAGAGAGGAAACAGCCAGAGCUUUGAGACAGUGGAUGGCUUCUCACGGUACAGGAUGAGACGGGACUGUGCUGCUGCUGAAGAAGAUGAGUCAGGUCUCAAGACCUCUCUAGCUGUGGCUAGGCAUCUGCUUGCUGAGUGAGAUAUAAUGUGGGGGUGUUCCAGUUGUCACAGUUGACAGCAAGGUCUGCAGGAGAGUGUGGUGGGGGGAAAGGGGUGCCUCUGUGGGCCCA